AGGUAACAACAAAUGCUGUGCUGUCACCAUUGUGAGAGCAGAAUAAAUAAUGGAAACAAGCAAUGUGUGAAUAUCAAAUAAACAGUGGAGCACAUCCUCACCAGCUGCAUUACAUCCUGGUAUGGCACCUGCUCAGUCCACGACUGUAAAGUAGGACGCAAGGUAAGAGCUACUGAGCAAUCGGCACUCACUCCAAAACACUGAAGAACAACUUCUACCCGGGACAGAAGACUUAUCAACACACUCCAGCGCUUUAUUGAUAUUAUUAUGUUGUACAUAAUGCAUCAAAGUUUCAUAAUUUACAGCCUGUUCAGUUGUCUGUAUUUGUUGUUUA